rnacentral:lncRNA from 1 species
CGCUCACCUUGGUCUAUGUGAAUAUUGAACAAAAGAAGCAGAUGGAUUAAUAACAAAAUUGUGUUUUGGUGAUGGUGAUGUGUUUGUACAUCUUACUUUACUGAACAGUCUUGCUGCUUACAAUUAUCUCUAUCUAUAAUGAACUUGGCCCAGUAGUUUCAGUGAAAAAUGUUAGUUAAAAUUUACAAAUUUUAUGAAAAUUGUUAAAAAAUGACUAUAAAGGACAAUAACUCCUUAGGGGUCAAUUGACCAUUUCCGUCAUGUUGACUUAUUUGUAAAUUUUUCUUUGCUUCUCAUUAUUGAUGUUUACAGUUUAUCUCUAUCUAUAAUAAUAUUCAAGAUAAUAACCAAAAACAGCAAAAUUUCCUUAAAAUUACCAAUUCAGGGAGAGCAACCCA